GUCCUUAGUGAUGAUGAUCUGAUCCUUUACAUCCCUGGUGGUCUUGGACCCGAGUAUGACUCAGUUGUCAUUAACCUUACUUUCAGGGUUGAUCACAUCACCUUCUCUGAAGUUCAGUUUCUCCUACAGAGUUGAGA